AACGAACGCUGGCGGCAGGCUUAACACAUGCAAGUCGAGCGCACCGCGAGGUGAGCGGCGGACGGGUUAGUAACGCGUGGGAACGUGCCCUUUUCGUCGGAAUAGCCUCGGGAAACUGAGGGUAAUACCGGAUACGCCCUUUGGGGGAAAGAUUUAUCGGGGAAGGAUCGGCCCGCGUCUGAUUAGGUAGUUGGUGGGGUAAAGGCCCACCAAGCCGACGAUCAGUAGCUGGUUUGAGAGGAUGAUCAGCAACACUGGGACUGAGACACGGCCCAGACUCCUACGGGAGGCAGCAGUGGGGAAUCUUAGACAAUGGGCGCAAGCCUGAUCUAGCCAUGCCGCGUGGAUGAAGAAGGCCUUAGGGUCGUAAAGUCCUUUCGCUGGGGAAGAUAAUGACGGUACCCAGUAAAGAAACCCCGGCUAACUCCGUGCCAGCAGCCGCCGCGG
rnacentral:rRNA from 1 species